GAGAGAGUGAGUUGGACGAGGCCGUUGUCAUCCCAUCUCAGUCACAGGAGGAGGCCAAAGGUGAGAGUGAGUUGAAGCAGGUUGAUCUGAAGACAGCCACAUCAACUCUGACACUGGAGGUCGAAGGAGAGAGUGUGAUGCAGGAGAGUGAUGAUCUACAAACAGCCGGGACAUCUCAAUCCCAGGAGACUGAACGAGUGGCAAAGGCUGCAGUGGUGACCUUCACUAGCGUGACCCGCAAGGCUGCAGCCUCCCAGACCAGCCUCACCCUCAGCAGGGGAAAGAGAAGCUACCCAGACCUACACACCUUUGUGCAGGACAUGA